rnacentral:rRNA from 1 species
GACGAACCGUGCGAACGUUGUUCGGAUUCACUGGGCUUAAAGGGCGCGUAGGCGGUCGACCAAGUCUGGGGUGAAAUCUUUCGGCUCAACCGGAAAAGUGCCCCCGAUACUGGCCGGCUAGAGGGAGAUAGGGGCAUGCGGAACUUCCGGUGGAGCGGUGAAAUGCGUAGAUAUCGGAAGGAACGCCGGUGGCGAAAGCGGCGUGCUGGAUCUCUUCUGACGCUGAGGCGCGAAAGCCAGGGGAGCGAACGGG